AACAUAACUCGGGCUGGAUGGAAAUUGGCCCUCGAGAAUAGUAGCAGAAGGGAGGUUAAUUGUAAGACCCACUCAUCCAAUAGGGAGGAGUCAGUCUUAGA
rnacentral:rRNA from 1 species